rnacentral:rRNA from 1 species
UAGAGUUUGAUCCUGGCUCAGAUUGAACGCUGGCGGCAGGCUUAACACAUGCAAGUCGAGCGGUAGCACAGGGGAGCUUGCUCCCUGGGUGACGAGCGGCGGACGGGUGAGUAAUGUCUGGGAAACUGCCUGAUGGAGGGGGAUAACUACUGGAAACGGUAGCUAAUACCGCAUAACGUCGCAAGACCAAAGAGGGGGACCUUCGGGCCUCUUGCCAUCAGAUGUGCCCAGAUGGGAUUAGCUAGUAGGUGGGGUAAUGGCUCACCUAGGCGACGAUCCCUAGCUGGUCUGAGAGGAUGACCAGCCACACUGGAACUGAGACACGGUCCAGACUCCUACGGGAGGCAGCAGUGGGGAAUAUUGCACAAUGGGCGCAAGCCUGAUGCAGCCAUGCCGCGUGUGUGAAGAAGGCCUUCGGGUUGUAAAGCACUUUCAGCGAGGAGGGAAGGUGGUGAACUUAAUACGUUCAUCAAUUGACGUUACUCGCAGAAGAAGCACCGGCUAACUCCGUGCCAGCAGCCGCGGUAAUACGGAGGGUGCAAGCGUUAAUCGGAAUUACUGGGCGUAAAGCGCACGCAGCGGUUUGUUAAGUCAGAUGUGAAAUCCCCGGGCUCAACCUGGGAACUGCAUUUGAAACUGGCAAGCUAGAGUCUCGUAGAGGGGGGUAAAUUCCAGGUGUAGCGGUGAAAUGCGUAAGAUCUGGAGGAUACCGUGCGAAGCGCCCCUGACAAAACUGACCUCAGUGCAAAGCUGGGACACGGAUAAAUCCCUGUAUCCCCCGUAACAUGCAUUGAA